rnacentral:rRNA from 1 species
GACAGAGGGUGCAAACGUUGUUCGGAAUUACUGGGCGUAAAGCGCGUGUAGGCGGCUUGGCAAGUCGGGUGUGAAAGCCCCGGGCUCAACCUGGGAAGUGCACUCGAAACUGCUUGGCUUGAGUACUGGAGAGGGAAGCGGAAUUCUCGGUGUAGAGGUGAAAUUCGUAGAUAUCGAGAGGAACACCGGUGGUGAAGGCGGCUUCCUGGACAGUUACUGACGCUGAGACGCGAAAGCGUGGGGAGCAAACAGG